GGAAGAAUGUCCUACGGAUUGUAAACUUCUUUUAUUUGGGAAGAAACCUUUCUACGUGUAGAAAGCUGACGGUACCAAAAGAAUAAGGACCGGCUAACUCCGUGCCAGCAGCCGCGGUAAUACGGAGGGUCCAAGCGUUAUCCGGAAUCAUUGGGUUUAAAGGGUUCGCAGGCGGUUUAAUAAGUCAGUGGUGAAAUCUCGGGGCUCAACCUCGAAACUGCCAUUGAUACUGUUAGACUUGAAUACAGUUGGAGUAGGCGGAAUGUGUAGUGUAGCGGUGAAAUGCUUAGAUAUUACACAGAACACCGAUAGCGAAGGCAGCUUACUAAACUGUGAUUGACGCUCAUGAACGAAAGCGUGGGGAGCGAACAGGAUUAGAUACCCUGGUAGUCCACGCCGUAAACUAUGAUUACUCGAUAUUGGCGAUAUACGGUCAGUGUCUAAGCGAAAGUGAUAAGUAAUCCACCUGGGGAGUACGGUCGCAAGAUUG
rnacentral:rRNA from 1 species